AUCCAGGAACAGGACUGAGCAUCCUUGCUGUUUUUACAGGAACAGCUCCCACAAAAAACCUGAAGAUAAGUGUUUUGAUCAGUGAUGGUUUAUGGAUGAAAUUUAACAGCUUUUAAGCUUACAAGCGCAGGUCAUUCAGGAUUAGGCCACAUCAUCCAGGAUAUUUCUUUGUUCAUUUGUGUGUGUCUUUCUGCCACUUCACCUCAGCAUACCUGACUUAGAUUGUGGGGGGAAAACAAUGCACUAUUUCAAGCCUCCUCUCUUCCUCCUCCUUCUAGGCCAGGCAUCACCUAAUGCUGACCUUUCAAAAGAGGAAGCCCAUUUAGUGAAAGCUCACACAAUGUCGGGAAAGUGAAAGUUUCGGUUGUGCAAAAAGAAGAAGUUUACUGGCCUCUUACUGGAAAAGACCCCCUAACUCCACCUAGACUUCAGUUCCACAUAUUUGGCAAACAAUAGAAAGCCUCAGCAAGCUGUGUUUACACCACCAGAAGGGAAAUAAGAGGCGAGGAACUCAGCAGAUCCUUCAAAAAAUCUUCUCUUCACAAAGAAAAUAACAGCACAUGUAUUUGGAAGAACAUGACGAUCCAUUGGCUGGGAUCUCUGUGGUGGAAUGCUGCUGGGACCCCCUUCUAACCUCCCCCCAACCCUCCCCUUGAGUUCACCCAUCCACCCAUUAGGAAUUCCAGCAGGGCAUUGUGGGUGGGAUGAAUGGGGUCAGAGCCAAGGAAACAAAGUAGGAAGUAUUCACAAGAGUUUAGCCUUUGUUUAUGACUGCUUGGUUUUUAAUUUUAUCCAAAACUUGGACAAGUGCUCUGACCACUGUUUCAAAUGCUGCUUAUAAUAUUGGUCUAUCUAUCUAUCUCUAUCUCCAUCCAUCCAUCCAUCUGUCCGUCUAUCUCUCUAUCAUUCUGUCUAACAUUGUUUGUCUGUCUGUCUAAAUGUGACAACGGUCUAAAAACGGCCACAUGUUAAAGUGCUGGUUAUUUAUGAUGACUAUGAUUUCUGACUGUUUUGCAGCUCAAAUUUAUUUGGUUAAGACUUAGGGUUAGAUCUCCCAUCCUGACCUGCUGAAAACUGUGUAAAGCCUUUCUAACACCAGCUAGACUGACCAACUAAGACCAGCAAACCAGCUAAGUAUAAAGCGAAAGUUUAGAGAGAAUUGGUUGCGUUGCUAUCUACUAGUACUACUAUAUAUUAUUUGAGAAAGAGCAUGCCUGCUAUGUUACGGCCUCUUUAAUUGUGAUAUUAACCACAGAGACCUAGCUCUAAAGACCCACUGUAGUAGUGCACGCAUCUUGAAAAUACAACAUUAAUUUAUUUCUACAAAUCAUUUUAGCCAUAUUUAAAUCCAUUCCUAAAUUAGUUUUCCUUUAAUAAAACAGUUUAAGGGAGUUUACUGGCUCCACUGUCCUUCUGGGGGCAUCGAGUUCAACUGAUGCAAAGCAUCUGUACAUUCUAAUGAAAAAAAAACUGUCUUUCAUUUAUUGUUUGCUGUAUUUGUGCAAGUGAAUGAGCGUGGACUGGUUGGUGUAUUUUGGUCUCACACUGAGUCUGUGGGUUGCGUUCUGUGUGUGGCGCGGGACCCCCGCUCCUCAGGAGGCUUUUGUGUGGGCCUCCAAAGAGGCCAAGUUCACAGAGACACAAAAGCGGGGAAGAAAACCGAAGGGAGUGGGGUGACAGGGGACAGCUAUCAAAGGAUAUCAGCACAUUCUUACAGCCGCUGCUCGCUAAUGCAUUGUGAUUUGAAUAGCGGAGCGGGUGAAUGAAAUGAAGACUUGUAAAGAAGAUGAGAAACUGAAUUUGAUAAUGCAUGUCAGGCCUUGUGGAAUUCCAGAUGCUUUUGAAAUAACUGAAUGGGGAAUUGGUUCUGUGAAAUCAUGAGAUAUAAAGAUCAUACGCUUUGUUUGGUUUUAAGAAACAUGGUGCUUCUGAGUUGUUAGAAAGGCUGCAAAAUCAUAAAUGUGCUGUAAAUAUAUUUCAUCCAUAUAUGACAAGUGUAUUAGGAGAUAAAGUGCUCUCUUUUCAAACUCAAUCAGCUCUUUUUCUCUGCUUUUCUUCGGAGACAGACAUGUAUCUCUCUCUUAUUCUGUUUGGGAGUGGGUGAAGAGAGCAAGAGGGGCCCUAAAUUAAAUAAACAUCACAGCCCUGAUUGCUUCAUCUCUGCUUUCCAAGAAAACCAGACAUCCAGGCUGAGAAUAAACUCUAUUUGCAUUGUCUCUUCCGGCCGUGGACCUCUAAGUGUCUUUUAUUGAAUCUGGUCUCAUUAGAGAGCUGGACCAGCAGAGAUGAUGCUGCUGUAGACAGCACUCAGCUAUAGCACUUAUAUCCAGAGAGAUAUAUAUGAACACUACACUGUGUUUUGGACCCGUAAUGGAUUCCUCCCCACUCUUGAGUUGCUACAAACUCUGUUGUUUACAGCGCUGAUCUUGCGGGCUCAUUAAUUACGGAUGAGAUGGUGGUGUCGUGCAUCCUGAUUUAGUCAUAAUGACUAAGUUAUUUUCAUUGUGAUGGAAAGAGAGAUCUGCCUUGUGAUCUCUCUGCUCUGUUAAUGGCUUGCAUUGCUACUACAAUAGCAAAAUGUAUAAUUAUCCCUCUGAUUAGCAUAUAACGAACACAUUCCCAUAAUUGUACCUUAGUAACCAGUUAGCAGAAAAUGCUGUAGUUAGUUUACGUGAUAAAACUGUGUAUAAAUAAAAUAUGACAACGAUUUUGAGAGCUUCUUACAUGGUUUGAAGAAGAUCUAAUAUUAAUUAGAAUGCUUGAAACUAUGGUUACCAUGAUCACUUUUUGGAGAGGUUAGUACAAUAGCACAUUUGUUGAUUUAAGUUAAACUGUGGAAUGAAGGUUUUGACAAAAUAUGGGCUAG